rnacentral:rRNA from 1 species
UACAGAGGUCCCAAGCGUUGUUCGGAUUUACUGGGCGUAAAGGGUGCGUAGGUGGUCGGGUAAGUCUGACGUGAAAUCUCCGAGCCUAACUCGGAAACUGCGUCGGAUACUAUUCGGCUCGAGGGUUGGAGGGGGGACUGGAAUACUUGGUGUAGCAGUGAAAUGCGUAGAUAUCGAGAGGAACACCAGUGGCGAAGGCGAGUCCCUGGACAACACCUGACACUGAGGCACGAAAGCUAGGGGAGCAAACAGG